rnacentral:snRNA from 1 species
GUGCUCGCUUCAGCAGCAUAUAUACUAAAACCGGAACAAUUCAGGGAAGAGCAGCAUGGCCCCUCCACAAGGAUACAAGUGAAUUCAUCAAGCAGUCCACAUUUGG